CCUUAAUUCUGAAAGCCCGCCUAUUCAUGCAGUAAAGCCAACAGACAGAGUGCUUGCACUCCAUAAGUGAGCGGCGGAUGGGUGAGUAACACGUGGGUAACCUGCCCUGUAGAUCGGAAUAACUUCGAGAAAUCGGAGCUAAUACCGGAUAAACCGAGUGACCACAUGGUCACUUGAUAAAAGACGGUUUCGGCUGUCACUACAGGAUGGACCCGCGGCGCAUUAGCUAGUUGGUGAGAUAAAAGCUCACCAAGGCGACGAUGCGUAGCCGACCUGAGAGGGUGAUCGGCCACACUGGGACUGAGACACGGCCCAGACUCCUACGGGAGGCAGCAGUAGGGAAUCUUCUACAAUGGACGAAAGUCUGAUAGAGCAACGCCGCGUGAGUGAUGAAGGUUUUCGGAUCGUAAAACUCUGUUGCGAGGGAAGAAAAAGUGGGAACUAACUACUCUCACCUUGACGGUACCUCGUUAGAAAGCCACGGCUAACUACGUGCCAGCAGCCGCGGUAAUACGUAGGUGGCAAGCGUUGUCCGGAAUUAUUGGGCGUAAAGCGCGCGCAGGCGGCCUUCUAAGUCUGAUGUGAAAGCCCACGGCUUAACCGUGGAGGUGCAUUGGAAACUGGAAGGCUUGAGGAUAUAAGAGGAAAGCGGAAUUCCACGUGUAGCGGUGAAAUGCGUAGAGAUGUGGAGGAACACCAGUGGCGAAGGCGGCUUUCUAGUAUAUAACUGACGCUGAGGCGCGAAAGCGUGGGGAGCAAACAGGAUUAGAUACCCUGGUAGUCCACGCUGUAAACGAUGAGUGCUAAGUGUUAAGGGGGUUUCCCGCCCUUAUGCUGGAGGUUACGCAUUAAGCACUCCG
rnacentral:rRNA from 1 species